CCUACGGGAGACAGCAGUGAGGAAUAUUGGUCAAUGGACGAGAGUCUGAACCAGCCAAGUAGCGUGAAGGAUGAAUGCCCUAUGGGUUGUAAACUUCUUUUAUAAAGGAAUAAAACGAGGCACGUGUGCCUUUUUGCAUGUACUUUAUGAAUAAGGAUCGGCUAACUCCGUGCCAGCAGCCGCGGUAAUACGGAGGAUCCGAGCGUUAUCCGGAUUUAUUGGGUUUAAAGGGAGCGUAGAUGGGUUGUUAAGUCAGUUGUGAAAUUUUGCGGCUCAACCGUAAAAUUGCAAUUGAUACUGGCAGUCUUGAGUACAGUUGAGGUAGGCGGAAUUCGUGGUGUAGCGGUGAAAUGCUUAGAUAUCACGAAGAACCCCGAUUGCGAAGGCAGCUUACUAAACUGUGACUGACAUUGAUGCUCGAAAGUGUGGGUAUCAAACAGGAUUAGAUACCCUUGUAGUC
rnacentral:rRNA from 1 species